rnacentral:lncRNA from 1 species
GCAUUCCGCUCAAGGCCUCUUCGAUCUACUUGACGACUUCACCAACGCUUCUGGUCUCAAGAAGAAAAGCAAAUUGUUGAUAUCAGGAAAAAACAUCCUACGCAGGCUAAUUUCCAGCAUACUGGGUCUCGAAGAAGGGACCAAAACAUAUUUGCCGAUCCUUGUCCCCCAAGACCUAAAAAGAAAGCGGUUAGGCAACCUUCCAUUGCUGCGGCUGGCCAUUCCCUGUUAGCUGUUUCAGCAACCAUCUUUU